UUUUAGCUAUUUAUCUUAGAUUACUUAUAAACAGUGCAGUACAUAUAUAAACAAACUUAUGUUUGUUUCAGAAAUAGGUAUUUUAUCAAUUUUAUUGUGAUUAUUAUAAUAAUUAUUAUAACAAUCAUUCAACUUCAUGUUAUAACUGCAUGGAGGAUCUGCUUUUUGUGACUUAAUAUAGUUUUCUCAGAAAACUGGUUUUAAUUAAGCUCAGUAUGACAAAGAGACUUUGAUAUUGUGAGGCUGUUGUUAUAACUUGUUCAUCAUUGUUUUUAUCUUCAUAUUUUUGCUGUCUAAGCAAAUUAAGAUGAAAGAGGAAACCAGGGAUCAGGAAUUAGAAAACCUAAAGACUUUCCUGUCUCAGAAGAGGCUCUGGCUCCACCAGAUCACCAACCAGUUCUGAGGAUGAAGCUCCACAUCCUUCCAUCCUUUUUUUUACACUGAGCAGCUGGCUACAUUUUUAACAACAGCAAAAACUGCUUUCAAGGCUCUGUGAUGGACUAGUGACCUGUCCAGGGUGAACUCCGCCUCUCAUCUGAUGACUGCUGGAGAUGGGUUUUUAAGGUAGCUUUUAAGGUAGUAUUUCUCCCUUAAGUUCACACUUAAACCAACUUAAUAGAAUCAAUAGAUUCUAUGAUAUUACUGACUAUUUUUUCUACUUCUAACAUUAACAGACAAAUAAGUCACUCAGAAAUGUUUUUUCACUCCAGGCAUCCGGUCCCAAUCAUCAUCAGUUCUGAUGAUGUCACAUACAUAGCGAGUCCACAACAUCCUGAAAUUGUUUCUGUAAAGUGCAGUGAAUGGAAUGUUCUGUUAUUGAUCCUCACUGUUCAUAGGAAGGAGAAAUGUCAGUUUGUCUGCAGUAAUACUGGAAUACUGUGACAUUGUAUUAAAACAAUAUUCUGUCUUUGGUGAAACAUUUUUCACAUUUCAUCCAAAGUGUACCUGUUGUUUUAUUGUACUAAUUUUUAUAAGCAUGUUGUCUGUAAACCAUUAAUACUGUAUAUUGACAAUUUAUAAAAUUCUCUGAUAGUAUAUUGGCAAUGUACUCUUGAAAAAUGUGAAUAUAUUGAAUACACAAUGUAAUUAGUUUCACCUGGAAAGUGUGUUGUAAUUGAUCCUUCUGUGUUCUGGUAGCCUGAUAUGUUGACAGUACUGCAGUGUGUAUGAAGCAUGUAAUGUACAAAGUGGCAAAGCAGAAUAAUAAAAUACAUAAAGUAA